GGACGAACGCUGGCGGCGUGCCUAAUACAUGCAAGUCGAGCGAAUCAAUGGGAGCUUGCUCCCUGAGAUUAGCGGCGGACGGGUGAGUAACACGUGGGUAACCUGCCUGUAAGACUGGGAUAACUUCGGGAAACCGGAGCUAAUACCGGAUAGUUUCUUCUCUCGCAUGAGAGAAGAUGGAAAGAUGGUUUCGGCUAUCACUUACAGAUGGACCCGCGGCGCAUUAGCUAGUUGGUGAGGUAACGGCUCACCAAGGCGACGAUGCGUAGCCGACCUGAGAGGGUGAUCGGCCACACUGGGACUGAGACACGGCCCAGACUCCUACGGGAGGCAGCAGUAGGGAAUCUUCCGCAAUGGACGAAAGUCUGACGGAGCAACGCCGCGUGAGCGAAGAAGGCCUUCGGGUCGUAAAGCUCUGUUGUUAGGGAAGAACAAGUACGAGAGUAACUGCUCGUACCUUGACGGUACCUAACCAGAAAGCCACGGCUAACUACGUGCCAGCAGCCGCGGUAAUACGUAGGUGGCAAGCGUUGUCCGGAAUUAUUGGGCGUAAAGCGCGCGCAGGCGGUCCUUUAAGUCUGAUGUGAAAGCCCACGGCUCAACCGUGGAGGGUCAUUGGAAACUGGGGGACUUGAGUGCAGAAGAGGAGAGUGGAAUUCCACGUGUAGCGGUGAAAUGCGUAGAGAUGUGGAGGAACACCAGUGGCGAAGGCGACUCUCUGGUCUGUAACUGACGCUGAGGCGCGAAAGCGUGGGGAGCAACCAGGAUUAGAUACCCUGGUAGUCCACGCCGUANACGAUGAGUGCUAAGUGUUAGAGGGUUUCCGCCCAUUAGUGCUGCAGCUAACGCAUUAAGCACUCCGCCUGGGGAGUACGGCCGCAAGGCUGAAACUCAAAGGAAUUGA
rnacentral:rRNA from 1 species